AUGAACGCUGGCGGCGUGCCUAAUACAUGCAAGUCGAGCGAACAGAUGAGGAGCUUGCUCCUCUGACGUUAGCGGCGGACGGGUGAGUAACACGUGGAUAACCUACCUAUAAGACUGGGAUAACUUCGGGAAACCGGAGCUAAUACCGGAUAAUAUAUUGAACCGCAUGGUUCCAUAGUGAAAGCCGGUUUUGCUGUCACUUAUAGAUGGAUCCCCGCCGCAUUAGCUAGUUGGUAAGGUAACGGCUUACCAAGGCAACGAUACGUAGCCGACACGAGAGGAGGAGAGGCCACAGUGGAAAUGAGACAAGGUCAAGACGAAGACGGGAGGAAGCAGUGGGGAAUAUUGGGCAAUGGGCGAAAGACUGAAAGAGCAAAGACGCGUGAGUGAAGAAGGUAUUAGGAUCGAAAAACGCUUUUAUUGGGGAAGAACAAAAGUGUAUGUAAAAAUGCAUGUCUGGACGGUACCUAAUCAAAAAGCAACGGCUAACUACGUG
rnacentral:rRNA from 1 species